GGGUUGUGAGGUUAAGCGACUAAGCGUACACGGUGGAUGCCCUGGCAGUCAGAGGCGAUGAAGGGCGUGCUAAUCUGCGAUAAGCGCCGGUAAGGUGAUAUGAACCGUUAUAACCGGCGAUACCCGAAUGGGGAAACCCAGUGUGAUUCGUCACACUAUCAUUAACUGAAUCCAUAGGUUAAUGAGGCGAACCGGGGGAACUGAAACAUCUAAGUACCCCGAGGAAAAGAAAUCAACCGAGAUUCCCCCAGUAGCGGCGAGCGAACGGGGAGGAGCCCAGAGCCUGAAUCAGCAUGUGUGUUAGUGGAAGCGUCUGGAAAGGCGCGCGAUACAGGGUGACAGCCCCGUACACAAAAGCGCAUGUGCUGUGAGCUCGAUGAGUAGGGCGGGACACGUGGUAUCCUGUCUGAAUAUGGGGGGACCAUCCUCCAAGGCUAAAUACUCCUGACUGACCGAUAGUGAACCAGUACCGUGAGGGAAAGGCGAAAAGAACCCCGGCGAGGGGAGUGAAAAAGAACCUGAAACCGUGUACGUACAAGCAGUGGGAGCACCCUUCGGGGUGUGACUGCGUACCUUUUGUAUAAUGGGUCAGCGACUUAUAUUCUGUAGCAAGGUUAACCGUAUAGGGGAGCCGGAGGGAAACCGAGUCUUAAUUGGGCGUUAAGUUGCAGGGUAUAGACCCGAAACCCGGUGAUCUAGCCAUGGGCAGGUUGAAGGUUGGGUAACACUAACUGGAGGACCGAACCGACUAAUGUUGAAAAAUUAGCGGAUGACCUGUGGCUGGGGGUGAAAGGCCAAUCAAACCGGGAGAUAGCUGGUUCUCCCCGAAAGCUAUUUAGGUAGCGCCUCGUGAAUUCAUCUCCGGGGGUAGAGCACUGUUUCGGCUAGGGGGCCAUCCCGGCUUACCAACCCGAUGCAAACUGCGAAUACCGGAGAAUGUUAUCACGGGAGACACACGGCGGGUGCUAACGUCCGUCGUGAAGAGGGAAACAACCCAGACCGCCAGCUAAGGUCCCAAAGUCAUGGUUAAGUGGGAAACGAUGUGGGAAGGCCCAGACAGCCAGGAUGUUGGCUUAGAAGCAGCCAUCAUUUAAAGAAAGCGUAAUAGCUCACUGGUCGAGUCGGCCUGCGCGGAAGAUGUAACGGGGCUAAACCAUGCACCGAAGCUGCGGCAGCGACGCUGAUGCGUUGUUGGGUAGGGGAGCGUUCUGUAAGCCUGUGAAGGUGUGUCGUGAGGCAUGCUGGAGGUAUCAGAAGUGCGAA
rnacentral:rRNA from 1 species